UUGUCAGGAGCAUAAUCCUCCCCUGUUCUUCCUCCUGAGGGCAGAUAGAAAAUGAUGAUUGGAACUUGCAUCAUUUGCUGAUUAGCAUUUCCGUGUAACCAGGACCUGACAUCUGGUUGCUCCUGUCUGAU